UAGGAGCUAUGGUGAUCUUGAAGGUGCAUGAUAUGUAUGGGAUUAGGGAGGUUCGGCCAGCCCUAUGGUAAGUGAGGAAGAUGAAGAUUAGAACCUAGAAACUAGGUAGAAGCAAAGCAUGGCACAAUGUUGGCAGCAUAACUUUACUCACAAUAAUCUUCCAAAUACAAGAGCUAGGCAUCUCCUUUUAUAGGCUAAGGAGGUCGUAAUUCUUAAGCUAAGUGCAAAUGAAAUGUUAGCUAAAUGUAAUGUAAAUGUGAAGCACAUGGGUGCACAUGGGUGCACAUGGUCCUUUAUUAGUAAAGGCUUCUAGAAACCUUUAGCUAAUCAAGGUUAAUGCUUCCUUAAUUCUAAUGUGCAGAAAAUUAAACAAUUGUCCACAUGGUUGUGCUAUUUACACCCCAAUUAAAGCUAAACUACACUUGUUGGGCCUUCACGGAAAUUGUGCUAGUAUACCACUCUCCCAUUCAUAGCUUGAUCAAGUCUUCUUGUCUUAGACGCUCCUAGCUUGUUCUAGACGCUCCUAGCUUGUCCUAGACGCUCCUAGCUUGGUCUUCUUGUCCUAGACCCUCCUAGCUUGGUCUUAGACGCUCCUAGCUUGGUCUUAGACGCUCCUAGCUUGAUCUUGGACGUUCUUGACUUGGCCCUUGCUUUUCAUGAAAGGUUGUGCUUGACCCUCUUCCAUCAUCCCCUCCCUCUUUAAAAGGAUUUGUCCUCAAAUCCAAUGCCUUUGCUUCCUAGGGGAAUGGUUGUGGCUGGAUGGUGUCCAUCAUCUUCUCCUUCUUGAGAAGAUCUAUCCUCAGAUCUUCAGACUGGAUCUCGGAUAGCAGCCUCUUACUUUGAGAACUAGGAUUGCCCUCCUGGGUCAAACGUGUACCUACGAAAAUCAUCAAAUAAAGCAGAGGUGUCAGUUUGAAAAUUAAUUUUACUAAGUUGCCAUUUUUGUUUUUCUUUUGUGUUUGGCAACUUUUUACAAUAUUUCUUUUUUUAUUGUUGUAUGUGUUCUCUAAUCAUCUUAUGCAUUUUAAAAUUUUCAAUUGUGGUUACUUUCUCCUUAGGCACAAAUCCUAUAGGAGAUGGUAACAACUCAAAAGAAGAAAGAUGAUUUAGCCCACCUACAACCUCAAAAGUAGAAAUAUAAGUAGUUUUGUGAACUACUUUAUGGUGUGUAUGCUCAUCUCUUGAGUUGUGUUUGUCCUUUAUGAUUAUUCUAGGCAUAGUAGAAAGAGCUAGAUUUUCAAAUGUAUUUUGACCAUGCCUUUGAGGAUGAUAAGAAUUUAAAGUGUACAACUUAGAUGCAAGUUUUUCAAAGAG
rnacentral:lncRNA from 1 species